GAUGAAGAACGUAGCGAAAUGCGAUAAGUAAUGUGAAUUGCAGAGUUUAGUGAAUCAUCGAAUCUUUGAACGCACAUUGCGCCCGCCAGUAUUCUGGCGGGCAUGCCUGUUCGAGCGUCAUUACAACCCUCAGGCCCCCGGGCCUGGCGUUGGGGAUCGGCAGAAGCCCCCUGUGGGCACACGCCGUCCCUCAAAUACAGUGGCGGUCCCGCCGCAGCUUCCAUUGCGUAGUAGCUAACACCUCGCAACUGGAGAGCGGCGCGGCCAUGCCGUAAAACACCCAACUUCUGAAUGUUGACCUCGAAUCAGGUAGGAAUACCCGCUGAACUUAAGCAUAUCAAUAAGCGGAGGA
rnacentral:misc_RNA from 1 species